ACAAACUUGGUCAUUUAGAGGAAGUAAAAGUCGUAACAAGGUCUCCGUUGGUGAACCAGCGGAGGGAUCAUUACCGAGUUUACAACUCCCAAACCCCCUGUGAACCUAUACCUUUACAAAACACCGUUGCUUCGGCGGGUCUUCGCCCCGGGCAGCUCCCCCUGGUUUCUCCCAGGGGGGGCGCCCCCGGAACCAGGCGCCCGCCGGGGGACCCAAACUCCUGUAUCUUCGCACUUUUGGCAUGUCUGAGUGGAAUCAUUACAGAAUGAAUCAAAACUUUCAACAACGGAUCUCUUGGUUCUGGCAUCGAUGAAGAACGCAGC
rnacentral:misc_RNA from 1 species